UACGGGGGGGCAAGCGUUGUUCGGAAUUACUGGGCGUAAAGGGCUCGUAGGCGGCUUUGCAAGUCGGAUGUGAAAUCCCUCGGCUUAACCAAGGAAGUGCAUCCGAAACUGCAGAGCUUGAGUACUUAAGAGGAUCGCGGAAUUCCCGGUGUAGAGGUGAAAUUCGUAGAUAUCGGGAGGAACACCAGUGGCGAAGGCGGCGAUCUGGGAAGAUACUGACGCUGAGGUGCGAAAGCGUGGG
rnacentral:rRNA from 1 species